rnacentral:lncRNA from 1 species
UCUCAAUAAUCUAGUUACCACAUGAUGUUCUCCUGCAUUACUUAAUUAAUUCUAAAAAGUAAUUCUUUAUAUUCUUUUUUUAAUAGCCUUCUUUUGUCCAUUAAUUUUCUCUCAACAGACCCAGAAACUGAAUUGACCAGGAUGAGCACAAGGACCAUCUUCUGUUCUAUUUUUUAGCAUGGAAGAAUGUAUUUAUCUUUUUAUUUCCAAGAUGAGAUCUAGAGAAAAUGUUAAUUGAUUCUUUUUGGCAAUACGUGAGAAGUGGUAAAAGUAUCAUUCUAAAAACAUGAGAUAGCAAACAGUGCUAAAAAGAAGAAUUAGAAAACAUUAAAGUCCAAUUUUCCAAAAUGACAUAUUAUGAAAGGGACAAGAAACAGGAACAAAGAAAUCCAUCAACCUGAUGAGAAAGAUUUCAUUAAAUGUCAUAAUAUUCAAAUGAAGCAAGCAGUAAGAAUUUAAGGCAUCACUGAAAAAAACUAAGCAUCAUGGAUGUAAAAUGGAGUUGUGAAGAGGAAAAUGGAAGAUAUUAAGAAAAUUAACAAAUUGCUGUUUUUAGUGGGUUGCAGCACUUAGAUAAGGAAAAGUAACAUGGAAAAGAAAUCUGUUUUUAGAUCUUGAUUGUAUGAAUUUUGUAACCUGAGUCAGGUGCUAUGAAGGAUCAGUCAGCUAAAACUCUUAAGGGGAAAAUUACCUUCUUCCCUAUAGGAAGCCUUGGUCAUCCAAUCGGAGAAUUGGGUUCUAUUUUGACAUUGUAUUGGUAUUUGGGGUAAUGCCGAAAAACAGACAAAUUCUGAGAACAAAAUCUGAACCAUUCCAGACACAGAUUGUUCCGAGCCUGGGCUUGGCCCAAAGCAUCUCAUUGUUGCUGUUUGGGUUUCGCAUAGCCAGACGUUUUAAGACCUCUGACCUAUUUCUCUGAACACAAACGCUUAUGAUUUCCAAUUUCCCUCCUUUAUUUUAGACUGACUGCAAUGGCCAUGCCUCAUUUUGAGUGGGUCUUAACUUACUUUUAAAACUCUUGGAGAGAAACAUAAAACUGAACCCAAACAUUGAAGCCACAUGUGCAGACCACCCAGCACCCCUCAACCCCAUUCCCAUGAGCCUGCGUCCACCCCAGCAAUCCAUGAGCAUUCCAGUUCUUCCUGGGCAGGGAGGCAAUAUUCAUUCAAAAUUCCAGAAGGUGAUUAGCUAGGCAUGGUGGUGCACACCUGUAGUCCCAGCUACUGAGGAGGCUGAUGUGCAAGGAUCACUUGAGCUCAGGAAAUCCAGGCUAUGGUGAGCCAUGAUUGUGCCACUGCACUCUUAGCCUGAAAGACAAAGCAAGACUCUGUCUCAAAAAAAGAAAAAAGAAAAAUCCACAACAACAUUCAAAAAUGAAUCUCAACACUAUCUGGUUUCUGCUGAAAUAAGGUGGCUGCUCAUGAGAGCUGUUUUAACUCACAAGAGUUUCAGCACAUACAAACAAUUAUUGCUAUGACACCGAGGUUGAGAAAAACGAAGCUGGCUGUUAACAUUUUUCUCUAAAUCCAUCCCAAUGACGUUAAAGGUUCCUUUUUUUUUCCUGUGCCCCCCCAGAUGAUCUUGACUUGACAGACAUGAUCCCAACAGCACUUAGCUAUGUGCACAAGUCUUUUAUCUCUGUUACAGCCUUCUCAUUUUAAUCAUCAAAAGAGGCCAUCAACCAACAUUCUGCUUGUGGUUAUAAACAUGAGACAAAUAAAAUAAAAAGUGCUUGGCAUGUCAUCAUCCCACUUUUGUAUUACUGAAUGCACUUUAAACUAUGUCUUUGUGGAGGACAGUGUGGCAAUUCCUCAAAGAUGUAAACCAGAAAUACCAUUUGACCCAGCAAUCCCAUUACACCCAAAGGAAUAUAAAUCUUUCUAUUAUAAAGGUACAUGUACAAGUAUGUUUAUUGCAGCACUAUUCACAAUAGCAAAGACAUGGAAUCAAUCCAAAUGCCCAUCAAUGAUAGACUGGAGAAAGGAGAUGUUGUACUUAUACACCGUAGAAUACUAGCCAGCCAUAAAAAGGAGUGAGAUCAUGUCCUUUGCAGGGACAUGGAUGGAGCUGGAAGCCAUCAUCCUCAGCAAACUAACACAGGAACAGAAAACCAACACCACAUGUUCUCACUUACAAGUGGAAGCCAAACAAUGAGAACACAUAGACACAGGGAGGGGAACGUCACACCCUGGGGUCUUUCGGGGGACAGGGGUAGAGAGAGCAUCAGGAUUGAUAGCUAAUGUAUGCAGGGCUUAAUAACUAGGUGAUGGGUUGAUAGGCGCAGCAAACCACCAUGGCACACGUUUACCUAAAUAACAAACCUGCACAUCCUGCACAUGUAUCCCAGAACUAAAUAAAAAUAAAGUAAAAUAAAAUGAAUAUCUCUUGAGCACAAUGUCCACGGGCCCUUUCUGAUCAGGAAGGAAUUACUCUUAAGCUUUUCUCUUGUCCAAUGACUUGCACAGCAUCUACCCUGCUCUGGGGUCCACUCAUCUUAGACUUUCCAGAAGAGUGUCUGUUUUAAAUACCGUGUCCUUCCAUUGCCUUAAGACAUUGGAUGUAAAAUGUCCCCACCCUUCCCAGGAUGCUCUUGGACCAAACUAUCUAUACAUGGGUUAGGGAAAUGUUUGGUGUAGGCACUAUUUUCUCACAAGUCUUCAUAAUUAGCUUUCCUAUCUAUCACUAUAGUGAUCUAGGGCAUCCCAGGAUAUCUGGUAUCCCAGGGAAUCAAGCUUUCAGCCAAGGUUUUACCCUUGAAAAAAUGGGCAUCACUCAACCAUUUCAACAGUGAACUCAAGGAUAGCCCAUUACCAGAAGAAUCCCAUCACACUCACCCUCACCGCCAAUCACAAAUAUUCUCAGAGUACAGAGGCUGGUAUAAAAUAUCUUUUCACUGGGUCACUUCUCAGACAUGCAGAGGCCUUCUCAGAUGAGCAUCCAUAAGUUCCUCUCCCUUGGUUUCCUUUCUUCCUUUCUUUUUCUACUCUCUGUCCACCCCUAGAACCUCCUUUGUUGCUGGUCCUGUGUCUGAGCCCUUGGAAACCCAUUCCUAGUUUCAUUCAAGGAGGAGAUGGUGAGUUCUUACCCUCUUUAAAGCAGAACACUUUCAAGACAAACAAAUCUCUCUCAUGCAUAACAUGGAUGCAUUAUUCUGCUGCAAAAGUCCCUCCUGGGCAAGGUGAAGAAACAUCAAAAUAUAGGUGGUCCAGGGGAAAGAAAAGCCCAUUCUAUCACAGUUCAAUAACAAGAAUUUAAAGAGACAAAAAUUUAAGAUAUAAAAAUAUUUUGUUUUGCUAGGAGUGGUGGCUCAUGCCUGUCAUCCCAGCACUUUUGGAGGCCAAGGCAGGCAGAUCACCUGAGGUCAGGAGUUCGAGACCAGCCUGGCCAAACAUGCUGAAACCUCAUCUCUACUAAAAAUACAAAAAUAAGCUGGGCGUGUUGGCGUGCACUUAUAAUCCCAGCUACUCAGGAGGCUGAGGCAGGAGAAUCACUUGAACCCAUGAGGCAGAGGUUGCAGUGAGCCGAUAUCACACCAUUGUACUCCAGCCUGGGCAACAAGAGCGAAAUACCAUCUCAAAAAAAACAAAAAACUUAAAAUAUUUUGUUUCUAAGAAACUACUCUCUCUCUAUAUAUAUAUACAUACAUACACACAUAUACAUAUACAUAUACAUAUAUGUGUGUAUAUAUACGUAUGCAUAUAUGUCAUGAUGCUUAAAGUUGAGACAGUGUCUAUUAAGAUAAGCAUAGUUAAUAUCAUUGAGUGCUCUCUUUGUGCCAGAUUCUAAGUGUUUUAUUUCUAUUAUAUUAUUUAAUCCUCAAAACGACCCAAAGUAGUAGAUGUUAUGGUUGCCAUUUUGCAGCUGGAGAAACAAACUGGAAAGUUCAAGUUGCUUGAUUACAGUCAGACCACGCCUUCUGAUUUGGGUUCAGAAGAUGAUGGGCACUGUCUGCAUUAUAGUUCUUUGAGUGUGACAGUUAAUCCUUGAUUAAAUCGAAAGCAUCUGGAAGUCGAAAAGCUUCAUACCACCUCUCCCCGCUGCUCCACUAGAACUUAGAACAAUGACCCACAUACAUGAGGAACUGACAAACAUUUGUGAAAUGCAUGAAGCCACAGCAGAAUUCUGCAUAAGUUAAAAAUUAAAUUUUGCAGAAAUAGUAUCACAUUUUUGCAGUUAUAUCCAAGUGUUCACACUUUGAGGUCACACAUAUAGUAAUAAGUGAGAUAUAGUGAUGACAGGAACAUAGUUCAAAAGGGAACAAAAAACUUUAGCCAGAAUCAACAAAAUAAAUGUCUUCCUGCACCAGAAAUGGAACAGAGAUGCAAAGUGGUGAGGUGGCUGAGACCAGGAGCCCAGGAGGCCCUGAGUCUGGAAGCAGGCAGUGGCUACCAAGAGAUAAUGUUCUGUUGGGUAAAGGGGACUAGGAGUUCUCCAUCAAACACAGGGCAAGGGCCAGGCUCGCAGUUUGAAGGCAGGAGCUGAGGAGGGGCUCUCCCUAAUCAUGAAAAGAAACUAAAGAAGGAAAAACUAGCACGACAAAUGUCCCCUAGAGAGAUGGUUUUGGAGAGCAGCUCUUAGUUUCAUCAGAAUGCGAUAGUAAACCAUGUUGCCAGCUGGCCAAGUGAGAGGAUCUUCCAUCUCCAACAUCACAGUGGAACAGGCAUCUGAAACUAUCAUCUGAAACAACAGCUAGGGAAAAUGCUCUGAAUCCUCUUAAUCCCAGAGGCUCAGAGGGCCAGGAGGAAGCAAUUGCAAAUCUGCUAGUCUGAGAGAGAGAGACAGAUGCAUUAUGCAAUCUAAUACAAAAAGAGACAGCCAAGAAAAUCAACCAUCAAAAUAUGAAUUUACUCCAGACUUAAUUUUUAGAAUUUUUUGGCAAAACCUUCAAAUAUGUAGGCUAAAUGUGUUCAAAAAGAUAAACGAGGCAUAACUUCUUUUAACAAGAAAAAGACUGCAUAAAACACAAACAAGGAGAAAUGAAACAAGUACAAGUAGCACCGAAAAAGAACCUACUAUAAAUGUGGAAAUGAAAGAUAUAAUAAUAAAAAUUAAAAUAAAGUACACUCGAUAAAUUAGUACAGAGUUGAAGAAAGGUGAAUGAGUUGGACAGUAUUUAGAAGGAUCAAGCCUGCUUUUCAGUUCACAUCAGGAAGAAAACACCAAAUAGGUCUUGCUUUCUUUUUUUCCAAAAACAGUCUACUACAAGCGAGGGGGUGCUUUGGGGCUGCUUAAGCUCCCACAACCUUCGUUCAGCAACCAUCUUUGAUUAAGAAAAUUAAAGAAUAAAUGCGUCCUGUGUUCUGUGCGCUCCACAGGGAGGGCAAUGUGACCCAUCCACACCUGCACACAGUGCCUGCCAAGGCAUGACGUGCUGAGGAAGACGUUUGCAAAUUUGAAGGCUGAUGAGGAUAAGGUUCUCGGAGAGUUCCUGCUGUACAUCUGUGGCCUAGGGCUUCUCCUUAUGGAGAAUAAAGUGAGUCAAAUUCAAUUGGCCUUAGAAUUAUAGAAGGUUAGAGCUGAGUCUUAAGAGAUCAUCUAGAUGAGAGAGAGUCCACCAGGGAUCAAAUUUCAUGUCCACACAAAUCACCAUAGGUGGUUGUUUAAAAUUCAGAUUUUUGGGUCCUACCCAGAGAGAUUAGGAAUUUAGUUGGUCCACAGUAGAGGCAAGGAAAAGGACUUUUUAAUAAGCAUAAGUGGUUCAGAUUUGGAACCCCUCGAAGGUGCAAAUAAGGAAGGCAAGAGCCGGGUCCGCAGUGUCCACUGCCUGUCGGUCCCCACUCAGGUGAUGAAGGCUGUGGCUCCCCAGUCUCUGCAGAGGGGAGCCUCUGAUCUUGCACCUCUGCGUGACCUGGUCUUCCUUUUGUUUCUAGAACUCUCCCUUCUGUGUGUCCCACCCUGGAUCCUCCAGAGGCAGGCUGUGCUCCCAGAAAGGUACCCAGAGGAAAACACAAAGGUAUGAGGGAGGGCAGCACAGAAAGGAAACUGAAUGAGCAGUGAAUGCAGCUUCAAAACUACUUCACGAUUUUGCCAAGGGAAAUUGCUCAGCCUGAACAUCCAGAAGCUGUAUUCACAGUGAUGACAAAAUGACGAUCUGCUGAAUGUUCUUUAUUACAAUCCACAAUAUGCUUAUUGUUUCCCUGAGAAGAAAAAUAAGAGAAUCCCCAGUAUGAGGGGAGACUGUCCCCAAAAAGGGUCUCAGCCAUUUUCUGCUGCUCUCUAAACUCCAAUCCUGGAAUUUGAGCUUGAAGAGGUCAUACACAUCCUACCUUUCUUAUUUUGUAGGUAAGGAAAUUAUGACCCCCAAAUGUACCUUCCUCCAACAUCACACUGCUGGCUAGCAGCAGUAAGGCGUCAUAUCAUUUUCCCUAGCUGUUGUCCAGUGCUUGUCCCAUUACGUAAACAUGUUUCCCUCCACUUCCUUUCUUACUGAUGAUAAUGUCCACUUAAGGCUAUCAUUUGCUUAUUUUGGAAGAUGGGACUAAAGUGGGUGAUGGGAGGAGAGCUAUAUGGAUAUUGCUUGUCUGUUUUCUGUAAUAUGAUGAAAGGGUGUGAACAUUUCAAAUAAAAUAAUUAUACUGUUAGCAGCAGUAAAUCCAUAUGGGUUUGCAGCAGUCUCAAUUCUUGUCUCCUCAGAAGAAAGAAUUCGACCGAGAGGCAUAAGGCAGAGGAAAAGACCGAGGCAAGUUUUAGAGCAGGUGUGAAAGUGUAUUAAAAGCUUUCAAGCAGGAAAAAAAAAGGAAAGAAAGUAUACUUGUAAGAGGGCCAAGCAGUCAACUUGAAGGACAAGUGUGUGGUUUGACCUUUGACUUGUGAUCAAAAGACCUCCUCUGCUGUCUUGCAUUCCUUCUUCCCUAAUUCUUCCCUUGGCUGUGGGCUGUUUGACGAGCAGUGACCUACUGGCAGUUGGGAGGUGAGCAAGUGCAGUGUGUUUACGGAGUUGUACACAUGCUCACUUGAGGCAUUCUUCCCGUACCAGUCAAAUGUCAAUGGAACAUCAUAGACCAGUUAAACUCCGUCAUUUUACCUCUUAAUGCACAUGCUGGAGCCCACUGCCCAACUCCUGAGAUCUUAUCAGGAAACUGCUGAUCACUAGUUUCAGGUUUUUUUCUAUCAUAGGAAAACUGCCUUUCCCUGGCACUGACUGUGACAAAUUAUUAUUUUAGAGAGACAAUUAACAACAGCCAGACCAUCACCUGAUGUCGCCUGACAUUCCUGGGGCAGGGUGGGAGAGCCCUCUCCUGUCUUGCUCAUGCCAGACUAGCUACUUACUAUAACAAUACCUCCUCGAGGAAAAAGCCCCCAAAUAAAUAUAAGGUAUUAAUAAGAACCAGAGAGGGUUUGAUUGAUCACAGCAUGAAUUAAUAUCUAGAUAUGAAAUGCAGAAAUACAUGCAUUCAGAAAUAAUCUCCUUUCCUUCCAGAACACUCAGAUUGACCAGGAACAGAAUUUAAACAUCUACAGUCUCUCUGUGGCUAUGAUUAUAAUUAUGAACAUUCCCAACAGUGUUGUAGAUAUGUAAGUGAUAUACUGAGGAAUUUCUUUUUCAGAAAGUAUAUAAAGGCAUCUAUCAUAGUUUUUUCUUCAGAUCUGAAACAAUUAGUAGACACGCACAGGUUAUUUUUUUUCCCAUCCCGUGAGCCAGGAUGCCAGGGCAUAUAUCUGGUCAGCCACAUCUCAGGGGUUCUGCUUCAAUUUUCCCAGGUUUUCUUCUGUGUCCCCCAGUGGUCCCUGGAAGCUCCCCACCUCUUGGCAAGAAUACAACAUUGCCAGGAAGGUGCCAGGGCGGUUGGUUAAUCAUUGGUCCAAAGAACUUCCUGCAGCUUGCAGGGAUCUUCCCCAUCGAAACCCUCCAAGGUAGGUAACAAACUCCUGCAAUUGACAUGCAAUGCAAGUCAGGGCCAGCCAAAAUUACAACCCGGCAAGAGUCACUUCUAGCAUAUUCUAUGCCCUUUGCCCCAUGGUGACUUAGUGAUUUUCAGUAUUCCCACUUUUAUAGAGCAAGUUUUAAGGGGUCUGUGAAGUUACUUUAGCUAAAUUAGAUAUUAUAAGUAAAAAUUAGUGGUUCAACUCAAAACAUGUUUGUAUGAAAGAAAUAACUGAGCAGUAAUUUGGGCAUAGAAAGAAACUUAAGAACUAUCUACAUUCACACCAAAAUCCACAUAGAAAGGCCUGCCUAAAUGCAAAAAUACUUUUGGGCUUAUGAAAAAACUGAGGUGGAAAAAAAAAAGCUUUUCUCAGGAGAAAGACAGCAUUAGUUAUUUUUUAAAAGGCAAUUUUGCUAAGUUGAAAAUCCAUGAAGUCAAUGAACUAUCACUUUCUGAGUUCAAAAAGUGAGACUUUUACUUGCUUAAUUAUCCUUGCACUCAGUGCCUUUAGACUAAAAAUGAUGAUUUUUUAACACUUAAAAAAUCCACUUCUUUCUCAAAGACCUAAAUCUUUGCAUCUCCUCUUCAUGCCGUCUAUAAGUACUUAAAAUUUUUUUAUUUCCUUUUCCAAAAGCCUUAAAGAAAAUAAAGAUCUAACAAUUAGGGUCUUAAGUUAAAAUCUGAUAAUUUUUUUAUUCAUCAAAUUUCUGCAUCCCUAACUGCAGCAAAUUGAGCGUCUUCAAUAACUCUGAACAGCUUUUGACAAUUUGAGAGAAAAGGUUGCUGAUUAAUCUACUGAGUCAUUGACUUGGACUGGGCGACACUAGGAACUUGAGGAAGACGUGACAUUGAUAAGUCCGGGAGGUAACAUUGAUAAGGCCAGGAGGCAGGGAAAUACCGGGUAGAAGAGGGCAGAGUUCCUGACGAGGGCUCCACCCUUAAACCUAGACCCGUGGCCCAAAGUGAGAACUAUCCCUGUUUUCCUGGCCAAAUGUUGCCUUUUGGCCCAUCCCGUCCCCUAUUCUGUACCCAUGAGAACCCCAGACCCCAGACUCAGCAGUCAUACACACAGAAGAGAGAAGUGUCUGAACAUCAAGAGGAGAAGAAACAGCUGGAUGUCGGAGACUGUGGUCGGAGAGGAGUUCAGCUAGGGAUGGCUGGACUCCAGGGGAAGAUUGUCUUCCCACUCCACCCGCUUUCCAGUUCCCCUUUCUGCUGAGAGCCACUUCCACCACUCAAUAAAGUCCUCCACAUUCACCACCCUUCAAUUAUUUCUUGUAACCUGAUUCUUUCUCAAUACCAGACAAGAACUAGGGUACCAAGAGGGCAGGGUAUAAAAGGCUGUCCCUGCUGACCCUUCGCUGAGCUGGUUAAUACUUAGCUGUCCAGACUGCACCCAGAGCAGCAAUCCUGCCCACCCCCCACACGCCCUUCACUAUCUAAAUAAGUAUCUUCCCAUUUUUCAACAAAUAUUUGUUGAUCAAUUAUUAUAUACCAGGCACUGUUUAAGCUUCCCACCUUCACAGAAUGCACAUUUAAAUAGGGGGGAGAGAGAGAGUGUGACAAUGAUAUCUCAUUACCUCCAGAGUUCAGCGCUACAAGUAAAAAGAAAAUAAGAUGUUGUAAAGACAGAGUGACUCUUCACUGGGUAUCAAAAGGGCUAAUGAGGGAAGGCCCCUCGGGCUGUUUCAGAUCCCGUGCUGGCUGCCUUUCCUCUGCUGUGCCACAGCUCAGAAGCCAGGUCUGAAUUCCUGUCACAAGAAACCGAACAGCUUUUUUAAAGAAUAUUGUGAAAUAUGCAAGAAUAUGCGAGCGUGUACACUUAGCAUGUAAACAC